GUUCAUGGCUCAGGAUGAACGCUAGCGACAGGCUUAACACAUGCAAGUCGAGGGGCAGCAUGAUUUGUAGCAAUACAGAUUGAUGGCGACCGGCGCACGGGUGAGUAACGCGUAUGCAACUUACCUAUCAGAGGGGGAUAGCCCGGCGAAAGUCGGAUUAAUACCCCAUAAAACAGGGGUCCCGCAUGGGAAUAUUUGUUAAAGAUUCAUCGCUGAUAGAUAGGCAUGCGUU
rnacentral:rRNA from 1 species